rnacentral:tRNA from 1 species
GGGCCGAUAGCUCAGCUGGUAGAGCGUCGCAUUCGCAUUGCGAAGGUCGGGAGUUCGAAUCUCCCUCGGUCCACCA